UGAAGAAUGUUGGAAGCCGUGGUUUCAUGA
rnacentral:piRNA from 1 species